ACGAACGCAUUGAAAUAUACAAAAUUAUAAAAUUUCAACCAGAUCGGUCCAACCGUUUUGGAGUUAGGUGACAAACACACAUACGCAUUAAUUAUUAUAUAUUUAGAUGUAUCAUAACAAAUAAAUGUUUUGUUUUGUUCUAUAGGGAAGGUCAGGGGACAAACACCGAAGGUUGAAAAGCAAGAAAAGAAGAAGAAGAAGACUGGCCGCGCCAAGCGUAGGCAACAGUACAACAGAAGGUCUG
rnacentral:misc_RNA from 1 species